rnacentral:rRNA from 1 species
UACGUAGGGGGCUAGCGUUGCUCGGAAUUACUGGGCGUAAAGCGCACGUAGGCGGCUUGUUAAGUCAGGGGUGAAAUCCUGGAGCUCAACUCCAGAACUGCCUUUGAUACUGGCGAUCUCGAGUCCGGGAGAGGUGAGUGGAACUGCGAGUGUAGAGGUGAAAUUCGUAGAUAUUCGCAAGAACACCAGUGGCGAAGGCGGCUCACUGGCCCGGUACUGACGCUGAGGUGCGAAAGCGUGGGGAGCAAACAGG